rnacentral:rRNA from 1 species
AGAGUUUGAUUCUGGCUCAGAACGAACGCUGGCGGCGUGGCUAAGGCAUGCAAGUCGAACGGGGCCUUUUGAGUAGCAAUACAAGAAAGGUUCAGUGGCGGACGGGUGAGUAAUACAUAGGUAACGUGCCUCGAGUUCAGGGAUAACAGCGACCCGCAACGUUUUGCGAAAGUGCUGGUAAUACCUGAUAACGUCAAGAGGUCUCAUGACUUUUUGACCAAAGAUGGGGACCUUCGGGCUGUUGACUCUUGAGCGGCCUAUGUCCUAUCAGCUAGUUGGCGGGGUAAUGGCCCACCAAGGCUAUGACGGGUAACCGGCGUGAGAGCGCGACCGGUCACAUCGGAACUGAGAUACUGUCCGGACACCUACGGGUGGCUGCAGCAACGAAUAUUCCGCAAUGGGCGAAAGCCUGACGGAGCGACGCCGCGUGAGGGAUGAAGUCCUUCGGGAUGUAAACUUCAAUAGUACGCUAGGAACCAAUCCUGGCUAAUAUCCAUGAAAGUUGACCAGCGUAUGAAAGAGGCGGCUAACUCCGUGCCAGCAGCCGCGGUAAUACGGAGGCCUCGAGCGUUGUUCGGAAUCACUGGGCUUAAAGCGCGUGUAGGCGGACGGUAAGUACUUUGUGAAAGCCCCGGCUUCAAUCCGGGAACUGCUAGGUAUACUGUCGCUCUUGAGGCAGGUAGGGGUCACUGGAACCUUAGGUGGAGCGGUGAAAUGCGUAGAUAUCUAAGGGAACGCCUGUGGCRAARSSGGGUGACUGGGCCUGAUCUGACGCUGAGACGCGAAAGCGUAGGGAGCAAACGGGAUUAGAUACCCCGGUAGUCUACGCCGUAAACGAUGCGCAUUAGGUUCGAGUAGUACUGACACUUCUCGUGCCGAAACAAAAGCGUUAAGUGCGCCGCCUGGGGAGUACGGGCGCAAGGCUAAAACUCAAAGGAAUUGACGGGGGCUCACACAAGCGGUGGAGCAUGUGGAUCAAUUCGAAGCAACGCGAAGAACCUUACCUGGGUUUGACAUCCACGGAUAUCGUCCUGGAAACAGGAGCCGAUUGCUUCGGGUGAAACGUGGACAGGUGCUGCAUGGCUGUCGUCAGCUCGUGCUGUGAAGUGUCGGGUUAAGUCCCUUAACGAGCGAAACCCUUGUCGUUAGUUGCCAGCGGGUCAUGCCGGGAACUCUAACGAGACUGCCGGCGUUAAGCCGGAGGAAGGUGGGGACGACGUCAAGUCAUCAUGGCCUUUAUGCCCAGGGUGUCACACGUGCUACAAUGGCGUGCACAGAGCGAAGCAAGACCGUAAGGUGGAGCAAAUCGCAGAAAACACGCCCCAGUUCGGAUUGAGGUCUGCAACCCGACCUCAUGAAGCCGGAAUCGCUAGUAAUCGCGCAUCAGCCAUGGCGCGGUGAAUGAGUUCCUGAGCCUUGUACACACCGCCCGUCAAGUCAUGGGAGCUGGGAGUUCCCGAAGUCGCAACAAUUCGGUUGUGCCGACGGAAAGCCCGGUGACUGGGACUAAGUCGUAACAAGGUAGCAAGGCGAAUUCUGCAGAUAUCCAUCAC